rfam:Serinicoccus chungangensis strain CD08_5 CD08_5_contig_16_consensus, whole genome shotgun sequence.
GGCUUUUUUCGCGGCGGAGCUCGACCGCCCAUCGAGUCGUUGAUCUCCUACAUCGACGAGCACAAGGACCAGUUCGGGGUCGAGCCGAUCUGCACCGUCCUCACCGAGGCCGGCGCGAAGAUCGCCCCG